rnacentral:rRNA from 1 species
AUUGAACGCUGGCGGCAUGCCUUACACAUGCAAGUCGAACGGCAGCAUGGAGAGCUUGCUCUCUGAUGGCGAGUGGCGAACGGGUGAGUAAUGCAUCGGAACGUACCGUGUAAUGGGGGAUAAUGUAGCGAAAGUUACGCUAAUACCGCAUACGACCUGAGGGUGAAAGCAGGGGAUCGCAAGACCUUGCGUUAUACGAGCGGCCGAUGUCAGAUUAGCUAGUUGGUGGGGUAAAGGCUCACCAAGGCGACGAUCUGUAGCGGGUCUGAGAGGAGGAUCCGCCAGACUGGGACUGAGACACGGCCCAGACUCCUACGGGAGGCAGCAGUGGGGAAUGUUGGACAAUGGGGGCAACCCUGAUCCAGCCAUGCCGCGUGAGUGAAGAAGGCCUUCGGGUUGUAAAGCUCUUUCGGCCGGGAAGAAAUCGCACAGGCUAAUACUCUGUGUGGAUGACGGUACCGGCAUAAGAAGCACCGGCUAACUACGUGCCAGCAGCCGCGGUAA